AUGUAUACUGAGGAAGAGACCCAUUGGCACCAGUUUUCGAGUGGGAGAUGGCUUCUAAAAGGAGACAACAACACUGGCUUCUUUCACAGGGUAGCCAAUGGGCGUCGUAGGAAAAAUUCCAUGGUUUCAUUGAAGUGUGGCUCCGUGGUUAUAGAAGGGACCAAAAACCUGCUUUCUCAUGCUACCAAUUACUACAGAGAGUUGUUUGGAUCAGCCCCUGGCAACAUUUGCCAUAUCGACGCCUCAUUAUGGUCCCAGGAUGAAAACAUCAUGCCUGAGGAUAAUGAGUACCUAACCCGCCCUUUUUCUCUUGAAGAAAUCAAGACGGCACUGUUUGCGAUGAAACCUAAUCGUGCCCCUGGACCGGAUAAUAUUCCUACGGAAUUCUAUCAACAUUGC
rnacentral:rRNA from 1 species